AUGCAUCGCGUGAGUAACCCGGAGAUGGGGAUGCCCCGGAGAUCCGCCUCCCUCUUCGCCCUCGCCUUCUUCGCGCUGCUGCUCUCCACUUCCCUGGCAGGGAGACAGCGGCCGAGCUUCAUAGUAGAUCAGGAGUCUCUUGGUCAGCAAGGAGAGGUCCAGGACGAAGCUAUGGCACAGCUGGUGCACUCCCGGAUGCUCAAGGACGUCACCACCAGUGACUACGGCACCUACGACCCAACCCCGUCCAUGCAGAAGCCCCACUUCAAGCUCAUACCCAACUGA
rnacentral:rRNA from 1 species